rnacentral:lncRNA from 1 species
GCAGGCAUAUGGCAUCUGGUAGUUCUGUUUCAUAACUGAUUUCCAUUUCAGCUUAGCUAUGAGCUCACAUUUGCCAAUGUAGUGUUCCAGACAGUUUUAUCAUCCACAUUGCUGACCUGGAAGAUGCAUCAUUGUCUAUGAUAUCUGCAAUGGAAAUGAUCACUAGGCAAUUUCAGCCUUGCAAAUCUAACUGUGGCGUGUGGAAAGAAGAGGAACCAGAAAAGAAUGUUUGUGAAGUUCUGGCUUGAAUCUCGUGCCGGGAGUGUGAAGAAGGUCCUUGCUUCCCCUUCACCUUCUGCCAUGAUUCUAAGUUUCCUGACGCCUCCCAGCCGUGCUUCCUGUUAAGCCUGUGAAACUAAAUUUGGGGGAUGCAUGCAACUUUUCCCUUGUCUGAAGUGAUAACUCUGCAUUCAUUCUUGACCACCAUUAAUCAUGCAUAGCUGUGCUCACUGAGGCAAUGUUUUUGAGCCAAUGGAUGAACAAGAUCUCAUUAGCACUGGUUUCCAUGGUUUAUCGCUCAUGGCCAAUGUCACACAGAAUUUUCAACCAGGAUGGGAACGCCCAGCAGCUGGAUGUCCAGCUGCCAAUUCAUCAAUUUGAGAACCUUUGGAAUGAGUACACAUCCAGGAGUGAAGAAGACAAGCUCAACUGCCAUUCUCUGAGCAGUUCAAGGCAUACUGAGUUGCGGGAGUUGUGUGGUGGUCCACUCUGACUGCAAGCACCCCUUUCUUGAACCGAACAGAGUCAAGUGGAAUCAAAGGACAUUACCUGUUGAUUCUUGGGCAAGGCCCAGAAUUUGGUGGACAUACUUAAAGAAGAAAGGAAUCUUCAGCUAAAGUGUCUACGAUCAAUUCAGAUUUGGAGGGCAUGGAUCUUCUGACAGUAGGGGCCAUUCUAGGAUUUUUUGGUUGAAGAGAUGAACUUCAACUUGGUUCCAGAUGGGUGGUCCAGCUAUUCUGCUGACAACAUUUUUCAGGGCAAGGCUUUUGCUACUGGAAUGAUUUAAGGAAGAUCCCUCAGUGUUUCAGAGUAAAGAUAUUUCUAAAGAAGUACCUGUGUCAUUGCCCAUCUUGAAGAUUGACUUUUAUGGAUUGCUCAAAUACUGAUAUCAGCUCAAUGUCAAUAUAUACUCCUACAUAUAAAAUCCAUCUUCUAAUCAUAAUCACUAGGUGGAUAUUGUUAUGCAAGGAAGAGAUGUGAAUAUACAGGAAAUGAGAUCCUUAAAGGGGUUGCCGUCCAGAUGUUAGAUCAAAGAGAUUAUGAUUCAUUCAACCAAGUCGCUGGACUUUUGAAGGCCUAUCCAAGUCAUGGUGCCUUUGAGGUUGCGCCUGUUACUAUUCAAAACUUGGUUUUAACCAUUUAAGGCCAUGAGGUGUGAGGUCUUUUGAGAGUGAAAGAACUCAUAUUAAUCCAGCUCCUGACUCCUAAAAAAACAGUAACUCUUGUAAUUAAAAUGGGCAGAGUCCAUCAAGAAGCAGUGUCCAGAAGCACUGGGCCAUGUGGCGAGCAGCAGUGUCACCAGGAAACAUGCCGAGCUGGGUCAGGAACUGCGCAAGGAGGAGGAGACACUGCUCCUGUUGAAGGCAGCCCUCGCAUGACCUGCUGAAUCACAUCAAGGUUGAAGCAUUGGCCCUCCAAUCAAUGAUUAGUUCUGGGAGAGGGGAUGAGGUGCUGUCUUCUCCAACUUCUCCAACUGUGCCUGAACAGUCACACGUCAUGUCAGUGCAUAUAGAGAAUGAAGCAUCAGUCAACCAAACUACGCUGGAGUGGAGCAUAGAGUCCUGUGACAGAAGAGGAGGAGGAAGAGAAAGAAGAAUCAGAUCCCUAAAGGAGGGAAAAAGCCAGGAUUCAUUAUACAAAUUAAAUUUCUAAGUCUCAGGCUCUUUCUCCCCAAGGAAAUCAUCUUGCCAUGAGCCCUAGGGCCUGCUUGAAUGGAGAGCAAGAACUAUAGGAGGAUGUGUAGCUGCAAAAAUUUCUCAUCAAUAACUCAAUCUUCAGAACGUUAUGACAUACAGAAAAUCAAAGAUGCUGUGUCUUAGCAUUGAGCAAUAUGGGUGGUGCUAUGUCUGUAGUCUGGUCAAAUUCAGUAACUGUGUUCAAAACAAAAUUUCCUCUGGAAUACUAUUGAGAAAAUCUGGCAUUUGCAAAAAGGGCAGAGUUUAAAUAUGAGCCAGUCUUUCCAAUCAACAAUACCUCUUUUAAGAAAACCAACUAACAGCUGUUUGCAUGCCGUUGAAUCCUUGUGAGCAGUUAGGCCACAGUCUAGGACAGAAAGAUGACACGGGGAAGGACUGAGGGCCAUCUGAGAACAAAAGUUGUUGCUACUUCUCAGAGGCAUUGAGACACACUGCAUGCUGUAGACUGCUUUGUGUAACUGUUGUCACAUCUUGCUUGAGAUGUCAUUGGCAGAAUGUUCUUAAAAAUAAAUUAUAGAUAAAUAGCC